rnacentral:rRNA from 1 species
UACGUAGGGUGCGAGCGUUGUCCGGAAUUAUUGGGCGUAAAGGGCUCGUAGGCGGUCUGUCGCGUCGGGAGUGAAAACUCAGGGCUUAACCCUGAGCCUGCUUCCGAUACGGGCAGACUAGAGGUAUGCAGGGGAGAACGGAAUUCCUGGUGUAGCGGUGGAAUGCGCAGAUAUCAGGAGGAACACCGAUGGCGAAGGCAGGUCUCUGGGCCAUUACUGACACUGAGGAGCGAAAGCGUGGGGAGCGAACAGG